rnacentral:tRNA from 2 species
GCCCUCGAAGCGUAGGUAGCGACGCGCCGCCCUCGUAAGGCGGAGAGCCGGGUGCGAGUCCCGGCAUGGGCUCCA